UAGGGAAUCUUCGGCAAUGGGGGCAACCCUGACCGAGCAACGCCGCGUGAGUGAAGAAGGUUUUCGGAUCGUAAAGCUCUGUUGUAAGAGAAGAACGUGUAUGAGAGUGGAAAGUUCACACAGUGACGGUAACUUACCAGAAAGGGACGGCUAACUACGUGCCAGCAGCCGCGGUAAUACGUAGGUCCCGAGCGUUGUCCGGAUUUAUUGGGCGUAAAGCGAGCGCAGGCGGUUUAAUAAGUCUGAAGUUAAAGGCAGUGGCUUAACCAUUGUUCGCUUUGGAAACUGUUAAACUUGAGUGCAGAAGGGGAGAGUGGAAUUCCAGGUGUAGCGGUGAAAUGCGUAGAUAUAUGGAGGAACACCGGUGGCGAAAGCGGCUCUCUGGUCUGUAACUGACGCUGAGGCUCGAAAGCGUGGGGAGCAAACAGG
rnacentral:rRNA from 1 species